UAUGGUUUCGUAAUCUUGUUCUAUUUUAUCCCGGUUUUAUUCUACUUGAAAACAUGAUUGAAAUCUCAUCAAAUAUCAAGGAGAAAAAAUUUCAUCCAUUCUCGAAACAAACACGAUCUUUGUCAAAUAUCAUUCCGAAGGAUCACACGAAACGAAAAAGGAGAAACGUUGGAUAACCAGAAGCAGGGGUGUUCUCAAUUUCAUGACGAAAAAUAAUAAUAAAAGGGAUAAUAUUAAAAGUAUACGAAGCUUGCUACGGCAAUUUCACGGGUCCCAGACAAUAAUGAAAAUUACAAUAAAGUGCAAUAUAUGAGUAGAAUUGGUACCCUAAAAAGAAGAGCUCCCUUUGUCCCAAGAGCGAUUUAUUCAUAAACUGUAACAAUCACGAUAAUGUGUACCUUGUAUACAGAAAUGACUUGCCCAAUAAAACCAGAUGGAAGAAGACAAAAAGAUCGAUUAACUUGGGCUCGCUACCAGUUAGUCAGUCAAUCAUUAGGUAAUGAGGCCGUGUUUGGAAGCCAGCGUAACUGGACAUCGAUUGUCCGUAUAAAUGUAUUGCCGUCCGCAUAGAAUAGGGCUGCCGAUCUUAUCGUCACGGUUUCAUGUAAUGCUAAUGGACGCGUGGUAGCCCAAUAUGUACUUUAAACGAAAAGGUUAAUAUGAUAGCGAGAUAAUGCGCGGACAUUAAGGAGCCGGACGAGGAACGGCGGACAAAUUAUGAAGAGAACCGUCUCGAAGAAACGAGAUCUCGUUUGCUGCGAACCCUUCAAGUGGAAUUGGAAACUGAAUGUUCUCGAUUAAAAAUAUGAAAUCGACAAGUUUUUCAAGUUCGCGAAGACGAUAAUGAAGAAAUGGAAUAUUUAUUGAAACAAAAUAUUUAAGGAUCAAAGGAAUCGCUCGGUAUAAUAACGAAAGUAGGUGAAUUUCGAAAUAAAGAUGCGAUCUCGCUCAAGAGACAGCCCAGUGACUUAUGUCAAAUGUUCUCGACGACAUUUAACGCGGAUUAUAAAAACAAGGACUCGAUGAACGUUGUUGAACGAAGAGCAGGGACAAUUGCUUCACCGUGCCAUUAAAAUACGCACUUGUUUCCUCGAACAUGCACACGGCCACUUUUACUGCUUUCCAGCAAAUAACGACAAAUAUGAUUACCUCACGGUCACUCCUCAAAUUUCUUCAAUUUUAAUUCUUCAAGAUCGAGUAUUUCGAGUAGCGUGGCGUCGAAGUUUGGGAAAAAGGAAGCGGACAGGGGCGGUUAGCCGGUCCGACAAAGGACGAGGAUCCCUGAGGAGGCACGGCACGAGUGGGUCAGUGACGUCGGGCACGGGACAGCUUGCAUAUCGAGGGAUCAAGGAGGGGAGGAGGGAGACACCGGGCCCUCCUCGAAUGAUCUUGACUCGAGGGAGAGAGCGAGUCGAUCGAGGCGUUGGCGCGAGCGAGAGACGCGGCUGGGCCGCGGGCGAGUUGUAUAAUAUGAACGCGGCGGGCCGCGGCGCAGUUUCGGCAGGCUAUAAUCAAUUCUGAUUGCAGUCCAGCAUCGCAGCGCGAUCCACCGGCCCGAUAGCUGAGAAAAAAGUUCGCGCUUCCAACUACCGGGCUGCCCAACGUACCAACCACUCCGAGAGGAACGAACCGGCGGGGUGUAUCGGCGGUUAGGGUGGAGAGAGUGGAAAAGGGAAAUUGGUUGGAGAGAUGGAGUGGAGGGUGUGUGAAAGAAAAAGAAGAGAAAGGUAGAAGGUGGAUAUUGGAGGAGGAGAUUGGAAAAGGGUACAAAAAGGAUAGGGGAUGAGGUGUGAAGAAGUUGGUAAAAUGGAAAGAAGUAGUGGAUUGAAAGAAGGGUGUAGAAUGAGAAAUAAAAUGAAAAAUUUGGAGAAAAGAAAGGAUGUGUCCGCCUCUCAGGCUUAAAUAUCGGUACAUAUCAUUCGACUCCUGGCGAAACGUCGCUUCGGGAUAUAAUUUCUGAACGGACAUCUUUUAUACUCGGAAGCCUCGCAUUAAAACAUAUCCCGAAACGUGCACGCAUGCUCCAAAAGUCUAGAUCCUCGAAAGAGAGAUGGAACAGGAGGAAGAUGGCAAGCAUCGACUCGAUAAAAACGCAACCGAGUUAUUUUAUUUAUCGGUUGGUCAGCAGCCAGCCUGGCUACGCCUUCGAAGUCUCGCGAGCUAUCGUUCGACACACGCGGGAACGAAAGAGGAGGAGGCGAGGAGAAGUCUGAGGUCCAGGCGAGGCCAGGUCCGAGUCUGUUCGGUUCUCCUCCACCGUGCAAUGGUUCGGGGAACGGCGGAAGAAUGCAUCCAUCGGUUGUGCAUCGGUGCAACAGCAACAACGGCACAAGAGACGCGCGCUUCUUACGAGACAACCCCUUUUUUCCUCGUCCCUUCUUCCUUUCUCUCGCGCACCAGACUACGCUCGUUCGUCCGCUCUUUUUCCACGGUACGAUUCUUUUUCUCUUUCUCUGGACGGUGUGUCGCGCGAGCGUCCGGCCCCAUUAGCAGUUGGACGAGCCAUCAUUCAAUAACGCUCUCAAUGCCUGUGCGACCGUGUCUCUCCCGCGCGCACACUGUCCAUGUGUGUCGUCGUGCGACUGAUAAUCGUGCACCAGUUUCUUUCAACUGGCUGCGACAGUAUGCAGCGACGAUUGAAAAUUAGAAAUCGUUGAUGCGUUUGAUAGCAUAUACGUGAGACGUGGAAAAAUUUUUUUAACUGAAAAAUGCAUUUUCAAUGCAUCGAUGCUUUGCAGGAUAACAAAAAAUGAGGAAUUCGAAACUUGGAAAAUACCAUAGAAAGGACAGUUAAAAAGUAACAUAAUACAGACCUUGAGGAUCGUAAAACGUAUCAUCGCUUCGUGAGACGAACAUUAAUUAGCGGCACCUUACCGUUAAGUUUCUUAUACGUAUCAAGAAAGAACUUCAAGCUCGAUGAUGCAUCGCAAAGAUAUUAAACCAAACCAUCUCUGGUUUGUCCGUCAAUCUCCAGACAAACUGUCAGAAGACCCGUAUAUACACACCGAAGAUCUGCAAUUUAAGUCGGCCAGACUCGACUGACAAUACUAAGGCGCGAUUGACGUUGGAAUUAUAUACGUCGGAUUACAAUUUACAUUUCCUAUCUUAAUUUGCAUUUAAUAAUUAAACACAUCAUACGUUCACGAGAUAUUCUUCGAGUAUAAUCGAUUAGAUGAUAAAAUUAAAAUAAUUUUAAUCACGUAGCUAUUAAUCGUUAUUUCCGCUAUUUGUUAUUUCCAAUUUUUCUUUAAUAAUUCCUACAUUUUAUAUUGAAAACAUAUUUAUAAUUAUUUUACCAUACAGUAUAGGAGUUUUUUUUUAAAUUGGUAACUUUAUUAAUUUUAAUAAAUAUCGUUGUUCGUACAAGAUGCAAAGGACGAACAGAGCGAUUAAUUUUCAUUCGAACAAAGCGACGAUGGUUUUGCGGUCAUUCCCUCUUAUUGCGGAUUCAAUAUCACGCGUGCACACGCGUGAUUUAUAAUACUGAUUAAAUCCUUCGUAUUUAUCAUUUUGCCACUGUCGGCACGUGUGUAACCGGUUCUCGCUCGCGUAGCUUUUCGACAAAUUUCGUGAAAACAGCUAACGAACGAUUUCGCGGAAUCACGAUAUGACAAUUAAGCGUUUUAUUAAAUAAAAUUUAUAUUGGUAAUACCGUAAGAAAAUUUCAUAAUUUUUGUUAAAAAUAUUUAAAAGCUCUUUAAAAUUACAUUAUUUAUUUAACAUAUUUAAUAUUAAAUACUUAACAGAAUGCUUAUCUCGAAUAAUAUCUUUUCAAUUACUCGUUAAAGCAAUUACGAUAAUAUAGAAUGAGACAUGGUUGUUUUUCUCGUUGCUUAAUCGAAUUUAUUUAAAAUGUACAGCUUACAUUACAACUGCGGCACAUUUCGACAUCCGGCCACGCUUCUGAGUAACAUCAUUAUCGAUAAGAUCAAAGAAACCCGGUCUACUGGAGUUUUCAGUGGAAAGUAACCUGUCAAGUCGGUCAGUAGCGCUACAUGUUUCUACGACAAUGAAGUGUCGGACGAGUGUAACUUUAGAUGUACUCUUAAAUCCUCGAGAACGUAGAAAAGAGGCAAGUAAGAGCUUUAAUAUCAAUAAUUUUUGAUCAAAGACGUUAUAUAUAAGUUUCAUUGAAUUGUAUAAUUUAAAAAUAAAUAGAAGAAGUAUUCUACGACCAUUGCGUGUAUUCUCUUAAAUUUUGUA